rnacentral:rRNA from 1 species
ACGGAAGGCAGCAGUGGGGAAUAUUGCACAAUGGGGGAAACCCUGAUGCAGCGACGCCGCGUGAGUGAAGAAGUAUUUCGGUAUGUAAAGCUCUAUCAGCAGGGAAGAAAAUGACGGUACCUGACUAAGAAGCCCCGGCUAACUACGUGCCAGCAGCCGCGGUAAUACGUAGGGGGCAAGCGUUAUCCGGAUUUACUGGGUGUAAAGGGAGCGCAGACGGCAAAGCAAGUCUGAAGUGAAAGCCCGGGGCUCAACCCCGGGACUGCUUUGGAAACUGUUUAGCUAGAGUACUGGAGAGGUAAGCGGAAUUCCUAGUGUAGCGGUGAAAUGCGUAGAUAUUAGGAAGAACACCAGUGGCGAAGGCGGCUUACUGGACGGCAACUGACGUUGAGGCUCGAAAGCGUGGGGAGCAAACAGGAUUAGAUACCCUGGUA